GUGGGGAAUCUUGCGCAAUGGGCGAAAGCCUGACGCAGCAACGCCGCGUGCGGGAUGAAGGCCCUCGGGUUGUAAACCGCUUUCAGCAGGAACGAAUCUGACGGUACCUGCAGAAGAAGGUCCGGCCAACUACGUGCCAGCAGCCGCGGUAACACGUAGGGGCCAAGCGUUGUCCGGAUUUAUUGGGCGUAAAGAGCUCGUAGGCGGUUCGGUAAGUCGGGUGUGAAAACUCUGGGCUCAACCCAGAGACGCCACCCGAUACUGCUGUGACUCGAGUCCGGUAGGGGAGUGGGGAAUUCCUGGUGUAGCGGUGAAAUGCACAGAUAUCAGGAGGAACACCGGUGGCGAAGGCGCCACUCUGGGCCGGUACUGACGCUGAGGAGCGAAAGCGUGGGUAGCAAACAGGAUUAGAAACCCGAGUAGUCC
rnacentral:rRNA from 1 species